GAAAGCCACUGCAUGGCUACUGAGUAAGAGCCCUCAUGAGCCCUUUCUUCUUGUACAAUCUUGCAGCCCAGUUCCUAUGCCACCUCUCAAGCCCUCCCAGGAAUGAUCAAUGGUUAGACUCUAGCACAGGCACCCACAGGGGAUCUCCUGGAUAAAACCCAAAUGGUCCACCUUCCCACUCUGGCCAGCCACCAAGCUCAGAUUCCUACCACUGUGAAAUUCAUUCCUCUGGUCACUGUAGGGAUCUGGGUCUCUAGCAUGACUCCGUCAUACAUUCCAAGGACUCACUCGACCACAUGCCUUCCCCCUAGGGAAGAAUGGACAUCGAGUUUAGGAAGAAGAGGAUUGCCAGGCCUGUGGGGACCCAUAGGAAAGAAGGCAUUGGGACAGCAAAGAAGAAGGAAUACAGCCACACGAGCACCUUCCUCCUUUAGAGAGUCCCACAGCAUGCAUGGGGAUAGGCCACCUGAGCUCCAGGCUGUGACCCAGAAGUUGGCACUCUCUGCAAGGCAGUAUCCAUGACACAAACAACUAAGAUACUUCUGCGCCUAGACUUUCCCACCUCCCAUCAGAGGACUGUUCCCAAGUUCACCUCGGGAUGACAGAGACACACCUUUUAAAUGCCUCAUGUUACAACCUUUUCUUGUUCAGGUUUCCUCCUUUAGCCUUUUGCCCUGAGAUUUAUUAUUCUACAGUGAUUUCUUUGAAUUGCAUUUGAAAUCAAUUAACACAGGUACUCAAAGAUGAAUGCUUGGACUCCGAAGAAAGGUGAUGAAAACAUACCAUUUAAAUAGAAAUCAAUUUCCCUUUCAUGUAUUUCCUCCUUGCUGCUGCCCCAAAUUAAUAGUUUUUAGAUAUUUGUGUGUAAAGGGGAGACCUCUUUCACAUAAACCAUUUCCUCCACUGCUUCCUCUUGCUUCCCUGUCUUGCCUCAAAGGCACGAUCCCCAGCCGCCGGCGAUAUUCCUGCAUAACUGUCUUCACGGGGCUGUUUCAUGCCAUCGUCAUUGAAUAAGCACAGCAGCUCCAAGAGCACGGGGGCAAUGCCUUUGGCUCCUUGUUUUGUC
rnacentral:lncRNA from 1 species